GUCUGUGCUUGCUUGCUCCUCCUGCUGGAUGACAGCCGCCCGGCGCUUGCCCGGGACUUGGGGUUGUCGCUACUUCCAUUGUCCGUGUCAGAGGCGCACAGAAUGGGUAGGAAACACAAGAAGCACAAGGCGGACAAGCACGCAGCCGAGGAAUAUCCAGACAAACCCCUAAAGCUGGUGCUUAAAGUGGGCGGAAGCGAAAUAACUGAAUUGUCAACAGCAAGUUUAGGGCAUGAGUCCAGUUUAAUUGAAGAUAAAUGUGAUCAUGACAAACACAAAGAGAAAAAGAAAAAAAAGAAAAAGAAAACUGAAAAGGAGAAACGCACAACUCCAGAUGAACGAAAAAGAAGAAAGGAUGAAAAGAAAAAGCGGGAGAAAGAGCCUUCUGCUAGUGAACGGGAAGAGGAAGAAAGGAGUCGGUCUCCUGCGAGAUUUGAAAUGCCACCAGAAAGGCACAUGGCUUCUCCUUUAAUAAAAGUAGAAGAACAUCAAACACCCUUUCAAGAAUUGCAGUACCAACUGUUGCGACAGCUUCAGAGGAAAGAUCCCAAUGCAUUUUUUUCAUUCCCUGUUACUGAUUUUAUCGCUCCUGGAUACUCUCUGAUCAUCAAACACCCAAUGGACUUCAGUUCGAUGAAAGAGAAGGUGAAGAAAAACGAGUAUCAAGACCUGGAGGAAUUAAAGGGAGAUUUUAAAAUGAUGUGUGAAAAUGCCAUGACCUAUAACAGGCCCGACACCAUUUACUACAAAGCUGCAAGGAAGUUGCUGCACUCUGGGAUGAAAAUUCUCAGCCAGGAGAAAAUCCAGAGUCUGAAGCAGAGUAUAGAUUUCAUGCAGGAUCUGGAGAAAUCCCAUAAGCAGGGGGAGAAGCUAAGAACAGGAGACUGCAAUGGGGAAUGCAGGAAAGAUGAGGUGGAUUCCAGAUGGGAACCAGUGCAAACUGAUGAAGGGGAGAGAUCAGCUGAUCAGAAGAGUGAAAACCAAAGGUUGGAAAAGGAUUUUGGUGAGGAUGCAGCCAGCAGUACCAACCGUGUGAUUGACAGAGAAUUGGAAAAGGUCGAUCGUGUUAUCGAGGAAUCUUUUGGAAAACUCACUCGGCGUAAAAUAGACAGCAAGUUUGAAUUCCAGAGAAGAAAAGUUGAUGGCACCACUACCCUUGGAAUUCUUAACCCAGUGGAACCUGACAUGGGAGACCCAAAUUACUGUCCAGUGAAGCUCGGUAUGAUGACUGGCAGAUUACAGUCUGGAAUCAAUACCCUUCAAGGAUUUAAGGAGGACAAACGUAAUAAAGUAAUUCCAGUGACGUACUUGAAUUAUGGGCCAUUUAGUUCUUACGCUCCAGUUUAUGAUUCUACUUGUGCUAAUCUCAGCAAAGAGGAUUCUGACCUGGUGUAUUCAACAUACGGUGAUGAGUCAAGUCUCUCUGGGUCCUUCAGUGUUCAGCAGUUCUUAGCAAGCAAUGAAGACUACAGUGUGAACAUGGUCGAUAAUUUACUGGAUUCCCUGACAAAUGGUGAACAUUCUAAAGCACUGAAACAGCUGGAAAUAACCGCACAUAACAAUGAAGAUGAACUGAAUAUUCUUAAAACCUCUGAAGAUGUACAGAUUGCACCAGCUGGGUCCCCUCGGCCCUUAGAAUCAGGCUUUGGCCGUAUUGACAACUUUGCUUCUCUACAGUCAGUAAUAAAUGGGGGGCCUGAAUCAGAAGAGUGUGGGAUGUUUCAGAAGAAGCUGGAUGAAACUACUAAGCUAUUACAAGAUCUUCAGCAAGCACAGAACGAGCGUUUCAGUACCAGACCCCCAUCGGCCAUGCUCUGCCUGUUGGGACCUUCUAUUCGAGAGUUGCUAAUUGCUGAAAAGGUAACUGGAAACCUGAAAGAAUUGGCAAGCCGAGUAGCUCCUGGAGACAUCACGAGUGUUGUUGGAAUUCGCAAGGCUAUGGGAAUUACAAUUCCUUUGGAAAUGAUGGACAGCUGUUCACCAGAUUCAUUAUCUGGAUCCAGAAAUAGCAACCCUGUGGAGGAGAUGGAAAUUGCAGAGUUGCCACAGCCUGAACAAGUCAUUAGCUUCAGUGAAGAUCCAGUUGCUAUUGUUACAUGAAAUGUCAGACUAUUAAGUAGGAAGAAUGUGUCUCAUCUCAAAGGAUAUAAAUCAAUAGUGCGUCAAUCAGCGGCAGCCCAUGUGAAUUGUCCUGACGAGUGCAAGACAAAAACCUUCGACAGCAUGUGUCUCUUUUUCAGCAAUACUAAUAUGAAAUUGUGCAAACUCCCUAAUGCACAAGACAGACGUUGUGAUUGACAUUUUGGGAGGACAGGAAGAAAGGAAAAGGAGGUGGGGUGGCUCUGUUGAAAAUGGAUGAAAUCAAAACAGUUUAAAGAAACGAUCUUGCUCCAGAGGGUCAAAAUGUAAAAUCAGUUCGAGAUAGCAAAGAAAUAGCAAAGUUACUGGUGGGAAUGGUUUAUAGGCCCGUUGAUAUUAGCUACACUGUAGGACAGAGUAUAUAUCAUGAAAAAAUGGGGGCUUGCAAGAAAGGUACUGCUAUAAUUGUGGCAGAUUUUAAACUUCAUAUGGAUUGGACGAAUCAAAUUGGCAAAAGUAGCCUGUGGAUGAGUUCAUAGAGUGCAUUAGGGACUGUACUUGGAACAAUACAUUCUGAAACCAAACAGGGAACAGGCUACUUUAGAUCUGGUAAUGUGUAAUGAGACAGGAUUAAUUAAUGACCUCAGAGUAAAGGAUCCUCUAGGCAAGAAUGAUCAUAAAAAAGCAGAAUAUUAUUUAAAUGCAGAGAGACUGCAGAAUGCUACAGAGGGAUCUGGGCUUCCUUGUACAUAAAUCGUAAAAUGUUAGCAUGAAGGUAUAGCAAGUAAUUCAGAAGGCAAAUGAAAUGUAGAGUUUUAUUGCAAGGAGAAUGGAGCAUGAAAGUAAGGAAAUCAGCCUAGUGAACCAUCUCUGAACUACAGGGCAUUGGUGGGACUGCACCAAGAGGACUGUGAAUGGUUUUGGUCUCCUUACUUAAGAAGGGAUAUACUUGCAUUGGAAGCAGUUCAGAGAUGGUUCACUAAAC